rfam:Cryptococcus gattii R265 mitochondrial scaffold supercont2.28, whole genome shotgun sequence.
GGGAGUAUAGCUCAGUGGUAGAGCAGCUGACUCUUAAUCAGCCUGUCGUGGGUUCGAUCCCUUCUACUCCCC